CGGCAGGCUUAACACAUGCAAGGUCGAGGGGCAGCACGGGUAGCAAUACCUGGUGGCGACCGGCGCAAGGGUGCGUAACGCGUGAGCAACAUGCCCUAUACAGGGGGAUAAUCCAGGGAAACUUGGUCUAAUAUCCCAUAGUAUUUAGAGGAGGCAUCUUCUAUAAAUUAAAGCUUCGGUGGUAUAGGAUUGGCUCGCGUGACAUUAGCUAGAUGGUGAGGUAACGGCUCACCAUGGCAAUGAUGUCUAGGGGUUCUGAGAGGAAGGCCCCCCACACUGGGACUGAGACACGGCCCAGACUCCUACGGGAGGCAGCAGUGAGGAAUAUUGGACAAUGGAUGGAAAUCUGAUCCAGCCAUGCCGCGUGCAGGAAGACAGCCCUAUGGGUUGUAAACUGCUUUUAUAUGGGAGCAAUAAGGUCUACGUGUAGACUGAUGAGAGUACCAUAUGAAUAAGCAUCGGCUAACUCCGUG
rnacentral:rRNA from 1 species